GCAAUUAGCAUUGCUACAUAUAGCAUUGGCUUGUAUGAGAAAUCGAUCGCCAAUGCUAAUGUAGCAAUACCUCUUGCA
rnacentral:pre_miRNA from 1 species